AGGUUACUCAGUUGUGAUGAUUUGAAAGUGCAAUUUUGUGAGUGAGAUUAUGCAAACUUUGUGCCGUAUGUAGUUGAGGACGAUGGAUAGGGAAUUGGGCAUACCUUGUGAGGAUUUGAGCUAUUAAAAAUUGUUACUUUAUGCCCUAAAACAAUUCUUUCCUUCACUGUAUGAAAUUGACAUCUUGAUUAAGGGUGAUACUAGAACUUGCCUUGAUUUUUGGUCGAACCCUGUGUACAUAGUCUAGGAGCGUUGAAUAAUUUAGGCAAAUUCUUUCUUUAGCCCACUGAGCCAAACUGACAAACCCUGAAUCUAUCACUUGCAGCCCCUUUUGAGCUUAAUAAUUCUUUUGAAUUCACUUAUAAAUUUGCCUAAAUUUGAGCCGUCCCGGUCAAAACUGAACUUAAGGGCAAAAGGAAGGGAGAAUAGUGUAAUGGAUCCUAUGGGUAGGACUAGUGCAAAGAAAGUGCAAAAUGGAAAAUCUAAAUCCCAAAACAGAGAAAAGUCCAG
rnacentral:lncRNA from 1 species